UACGUAGGGCGCAAGCGUUGUCCGGAAUUAUUGGGCGUAAAGAGCUCGUAGGCGGCCUGUUGCGUCCGCUGUGAAAUCCCGGGGCUUAACCCCGGGCUUGCAGUGGAUACGGGCAGGCUGGAGGCAGGCAGGGGAGACUGGAAUUCCUGGUGUAGCGGUGAAAUGCGCAGAUAUCAGGAGGAACACCGGUGGCGAAGGCGGUUAGCUGGGCAGUUGCUGACACUGAGGCGCGACAGCGUGGGGAGCAAACAGG
rnacentral:rRNA from 1 species